rnacentral:rRNA from 1 species
CCCUUAGAUGUUCUGGGCCGCACGCGUGCUACACUGAGUAAUUCAAUGGGUAAGGGAACGCUAGAGCAUUACCUAAUCUUGAAAUUUGCUCGUGAUGGGGAUCGACGGUUGCAAUUUUCCGUCGUGAACGAGGAAUACCUUGUAGGCGCAUGUCAUCAUCAUGCGCCGAAUACGUCCCUGCCCUUUGUACACACCGCCCGUCGCUCCUACCGAUUGAGUGAUCCUGUGAGGCUCUGGGACCUGGACGGAAAGAGCGUUUCGCUUGUUCUGUUUGGGAAACUUGGUCGAACCUUAUCAUUUAGAGGAAGGAGAAGUCGUAACA